rnacentral:rRNA from 1 species
GAUGAACGCUGGCGGCGUGCUUAGCACAUGCAAGUCGAACGAAGCAUCUAGGACAGAUUACUUCGGUUUGAAGUUCUUUAUGACUGAGUGGCGGACGGGUGAGUAACGCGUGGGUAACCUGCCUUGUACUGGGGGAUAGCAGCUGGAAACGGCUGGUAAUACCGCAUAAGCGCACAAUGUUGCAUGACAUGUUGUGAAAAACUCCGGUGGUAUAAGAUGGACCCGCGUCUGAUUAGCUAGUUGGUGAGAUAAGAGCCCACCAAGGCGACGAUCAGUAGCCGACCUGUGAGAGAGGCCGGCGACAUUGGGGCUGGGACGCGGCCCGGACUCCUGCGGGAGGCAGCAGUGGGGAAUAUUGCAAAAUGGAGGAAACUCAGAUGCAGCGACGCCGCGUGAGUGAAGAAGUAAUGCGUUAUGUAAAGCUCUAUAAGCAGGGAAGAUAGUGACGGUACCUGAAUAAGAAGCACCGGCUAAAUACGUG